GGAAGUCGACGGAACCCUUCGGGGGGAAGUCGACGGAAUGAGCGGCGGACGGGUGAGUAACACGUAAAGAACCUGCCCUCAGGUCUGGGAUAACCACGAGAAAUCGGGGCUAAUACCGGAUGGGUCAUCGGACCGCAUGGUCCGAGGAUGAAAGGCGCUCCGGCGUCGCCUGGGGAUGGCUUUGCGGUGCAUUAGCUAGUUGGUGGGGUAAUGGCCCACCAAGGCGACGAUGCAUAGCCGACCUGAGAGGGUGAUCGGCCACACUGGGACUGAGACACGGCCCAGACUCCUACGGGAGGCAGCAGUAGGGAAUCUUCCACAAUGGACGAAAGUCUGAUGGAGCAACGCCGCGUGAACGAUGAAGGCCUUCGGGUCGUAAAGUUCUGUUGUAAGGGAAGAACAAGUGCCGCAGGCAAUGGCGGCACCUUGACGGUACCUUGCGAGAAAGCCACGGCUAACUACGUGCCAGCAGCCGCGGUAAUACGUAGGUGGCAAGCGUUGUCCGGAAUUAUUGGGCGUAAAGCGCGCGCAGGCGGCCUCUUAAGUCUGAUGUGAAAGCCCCCGGCUCAACCGGGGAGGGCCAUUGGAAACUGGGAGGCUUGAGUAUAGGAGAGAAGAGUGGAAUUCCACGUGUAGCGGU
rnacentral:rRNA from 1 species